UUCACUUAACAUUAUUGGUUAUUCUUUGUGCC
rnacentral:piRNA from 1 species